UCAGUACAUUCCAUUUCUUUCCCCUGAAAAGUCGCCACAGGGAGGAAAGACCAUAGAUCUUCAGACAGUAAAGCCUGACCAGAGAGAAAACUUUUUUGGGGGAGAAAACAGCCUUGAAAUGAACUGCCCUGUACCCUGACUGAACACAGGUGGACAGCUUGCUCGAGAUGAACAGCACCGGGCGACUAUGUAAAAUCCUGUAAAGUACCAAAGGUUUUUCAUUUCAGUUUUCUCCAUCACUCUUCAGUAUUGGCAACAGGUUCAAGCUGGAACUCAUUAACUCACCUGAAGCUGCAAAACCAGUGCCACAGAGACAGCAACCACGUUAGGAAGAUGCAGACCGGAACGGAUGCUUGUUUUAGAAGCUCUGCAAUAAUACUAGCCUCUCUGCCUUCAGACUGCCAGUGGGUGAGUUUGAGAGGCCCGUCGUCAUAUUUGUCCAGGAAAAAGAGAGGCUGACUUUGAGCCACUGUCUGGAAGACCAAGCGCAGUUCUGAAGGCUCAAUGUCAGGCUUCUGGCUGACCUCCUGUACCGGGUGAAGCUGGGACAGCAUAACCUUCCUCUGGUCGUAAUGAAUGAAGAUGAUCUUAUCUUCCUCGCUGCUGUCAUCGUCAUUCUUCUCCUCCCGUUCCUGUAGAAGUUUCCCAUCUUUCUGGACCACCUGGCAGGUAAAGCCUGUUUUGCCAAUUUCACGGCUCAACUGCAGCCAAUAUUUCUGUGGAAAGAUAGUACUCAGGUCUUUUAGAAAGCUGUCCAUUCCUUCUUUUCCUUCAUUGGGCAUACUCCAGGAACCCAGGACAGUGAGAUUCACUUGAGACUGGCUCUGCAUCUGACUCAAGUACUUCUUCACCUGACCUGGUAUGAACGGGUAGUGAACAACGGCCAGAACCACAGCAGAAUUGUGACCUGGGACCCAGUGGCCAACCAGCAGGCCACUGUCAGCUGUAUUGCAGCACUGAGGAAAGAAGAUCUUCAGCACCAUGGUUGUGCUAUAAAGUCCAGCGACAGUGAAAGAUACAGUCCUGUUUGGGCAAAAGGCACAAUUAAAACAAGCAAGCAUAUAAUAACACAAGGCGACUUAUUUGAAGAAACAGCGCCAUCUACAGGAAAUUCUUGUGGGAAAGCAGUCUUUCACUUUCAUUUUCCCGUAAAGCAUUGGAAUAUGCAUCAAGAAGAAAAGACAAAAAUUUGAAUAGCAAACACUGCUUUUCAACCAUAAAGGAACUAGGUAAGUAUCAUUUUCAUGUGUGUAAUUAUGUAAACGGAUUGUAUGCUGCAAUUCCUUUGGCAGAUUUCUCCUUAGCUAUGUGUGAUUUUGAUCUAAAUAUAGACGUAAAUUUGGUCCGAUAUUAUUUAUCUGCAAUCAAAUAAGCGUAUGGCUUUAUGAAUGAAACGGAUAUGCGCAAAUUAAAUAUGCAAUUGAUUUCUGGUGGUCUGCAUCCUCAACACCAGUUUGGACAUGGGGCUAUGCGUUUGUGCAUUGUGAAUAAACAUAUAGGCCUAUCACUACUGCUGUUGUAAAUAUCUGGAGAGAAAUCUGGAGAUGGCAUAAACUUAGCU